rnacentral:rRNA from 1 species
UAGGGAAUAUUGGGCAAUGGGCGAAAGCCUGACCCAGCCAUGCCGCGUGAGCGAUGACGGUCCUCGAGAUUGUAAAGAUCUUUUCUGAGGAAAGAACAUCCCGGGUAGGAAAUGCCCCGGGCUUGACGGUCCCUCAGGAUUAAGGAACGGCUAACUCCGUGCCAGCAGCCGCGGUAAUACGGAGGUUCAAAGCGUUGUUCGGAAUUACUGGGCGUAAAGGGAGCGCAGGCGGACAAGUCAGUCUAAAGUGAAAUCCCGGGGCUUAACCUCGGACUUGCUUCGGAUACUGCUGGUCUUGAGUUCGUGAUAGGAAGAUGGAAUUCAUGGUGUAGCGGUGAAAUGCACAGAUAUCCUGAGGAACACCGGUGGCGAAAGCGGUCUUCUGGCGCGAAACUGACGCUGAGGCUCGAAAGCGUGGGUAGCAAACA